AACAGGAUUAGAUACCCUGGUAGUCCAUGCCGUAAACGUUGGGCGCUAGGUGUGGGGCUCUUUCCACGAGUUCCGUGCCGCAGCUAACGCAUUAAGCGCCCCGCCUGGGGAGUACGGCCGCAAGGCUAAAACUCAAAGGAAUUGACGGGGGCCCGCACAAGCGGCGGAGCAUGCGGAUUAAUUCGAUGCAACGCGAAGAACCUUACCAAGGCUUGACAUGGGGUGAAAACUCGCAGAGAUGCGGGGUCCGCAAGGGCGCCUCACAGGUGGUGCAUGGUUGUCGUCAGCUCGUGUCGUGAGAUGUUGGGUUAAGUCCCGCAACGAGCGCAACCCUCGUUCUAUGUUGCCAGCACGUUAUGGUGGGGACUCAUAGGAGACUGCCGGGGUCAACUCGGAGGAAGGUGGGGAUGACGUCAAAUCAUCAUGCCCCUUAUGUCUUAGGCUUCACGCAUGCUACAAUGGCCAGUACAAAGGGCUGCGAGACCGUAAGGUGGAGCGAAUCCCAAAAAGCUGGUCUCAGUUCGGAUCGGGGUCUGCAACUCGACCCCGUGAAGUCGGAGUCGCUAGUAAUCGCAGAUCAGCAACGCUGCGGUGAAUACGUUCCCGGGCCUUGUACACACCGCCCGUCACGUCAUGAAAGUCGGUAACACCCGAAGCCGGUGGCCUAACCCUUGUGGAGGGAGCCGUCGAAGGUGGGACUGGCGAUUAGGACGAAGUCGUAACAAGGUAACC
rnacentral:rRNA from 1 species